GCAUCUAAUACCAGUUGAGGUUCCAAGAUGCGAUGGCACCUUGACUAGUCAACGAUGCGACAGUACUGCAGGGGAGUGUAAACCGCCGUGGGCUCCUCCACCCGUGAGCCGGCGGUCCAUCACCCCCUUGCAACAUGC
rnacentral:snoRNA from 1 species